rnacentral:rRNA from 1 species
UACGUAGGGGGCUAGCGUUGUCCGGAUUUAUUGGGCGUAAAGAGCGUGUAGGCGGCCAGGUAGGUCUGGUGUGAAAACUCGAGGCUUAACCUUGAGAUGUCAUCGGAAACCAUUUGGCUAGAGUCCGGAAGAGGAAAGUGGAAUUCCUGGUGUAGCGGUGAAAUGCGCAGAUAUCGGAAGGAACACCAGUGGCGAAAAGCGGCUUCCUGGUCCAGCACCGACGUCAGGCACGAAAGCGUGGGGAGCAAACAGG